GUCUACGGCCAUACCACCCUGAACACGCCCGAUCUCGUCUGAUCUCAGAAGCUAAGCAGGGUCGGGCCAGGUUAGUACUUGGAUGGGAGAAAUGCAAAUUAAAACACUAUUAAGA
rnacentral:rRNA from 1 species